rnacentral:rRNA from 1 species
CCUACGGGAGGCAGCAGUGAGGAAUAUUGGUCAAUGGACGAGAGUCUGAACCAGCCAAGUAGCGUGAAGGAUGACUGCCCUAUGGGUUGUAAACUUCUUUUAUAAAGGAAUAAAACGAGGCACGUGUGCCUUUUUGCAUGUACUUUAUGAAUAAGGAUCGGCUAACUCCGUGCCAGCAGCCGCGGUAAUACGGAGGAUCCGAGCGUUAUCCGAAUUUAUUGGGUUUAAAGGGAGCGUAGAUGGGUUGUUAAGUCAGUUGUGAAAGUUUGCGGCUCAACCGUAAAAUUGCAAUUGAUACUGGAAGUCUUGAGUACAGUUGAGGUAGGCGGAAUGCGUGGUGUAGCGGUGAAAUGCUUAGAUAUCACGAAGAACCCCGAUUGCGAAGGCAGCUUACUAAACUGUGACUGACAUUGAUGCUCGAAAGUGUGGGUAUCAAACAGGAUUAGAUACCCUGGUAGUC